ensembl:snRNA U6 U6 spliceosomal RNA
GUGCUCGCUUCGGCAGCACAUAUACUAAAAUUGGAAUGAUACAGAGAAGAUUAGCAUGGCCCCUGCGCAAGGAUGAAGUAGAAAGGUCAGAUUUUUACUUUGUACUU